rnacentral:rRNA from 1 species
UACGUAGGGACCAAGCGUUGUCCGGAAUCAUUGGGCGUAAAGAGCGUGUAGGCGGCUUGUUAAGUCUUGCGUGAAAUCUCGGGGCUCAACCCCGAGCGGUCGUGAGAAACUGGCAGGCUAGAGUGCGGGAGAGGAGAGUGGAAUUCCUGGUGUAGCGGUGAAAUGCGCAGAUAUCAGGAAGAACACCGGUGGCGAAGGCGGCCUGCUGGGCAGUAGCUGACGCUGAUGCGCGACAGCGUGGGGAGCAAACAGG